AUGAGGCCUUGUCGCGGCGCUGCAAGUGUUGCCCCCCUCCUCCCCAAGGGCAAGGUGAAGGAAGGUGCCUGUGUGGUUCUUCUGCAGCUCGCAGCGAGGAUUGCUGUGUCCAACCUGCACAAAAAUUCCAAGAAGUCCUUCUCGGAGAUGAUUAAGGACAUGUACCUGCACUACAACGAGAGAUCUGGGCUGCUUCUUUGUGGCUUCCAAACUUGA
rnacentral:rRNA from 1 species